rnacentral:lncRNA from 11 species
AGGGGGAAAAGGAGGUCCCGCGCAGGCGCACACCAACCCUGGCUCCCGAUUGGUUCGGUUUGGGUCAAUGAGAGCGAGGCGGGCGAAACGAAAGCGCUUCUGAGGGAAACGGUUGCUCUGAGGUGAAAUGGAGAGUCCGGGAAAGGAGGCGUCGACACGGUCGCGCAGAAGCCCAUCUCCUCCUCCUCGGUCGUUCUUCCCGGAGACUCCCGGAGACUAUCGGAGCGCCUUCGCCGAGGAGUGCGAGGCAAUAGCACAGAGGCUGGCGGCGGCAGCAGCGGCGAACCCAACUCCUCUCAGGACUCUUCGGCUUCCGUACACCGUUGAGGCCGAGAGGCUGACGCCGCUGUGGAAAAGCUUUAUUGAGAGCGAGACGUUCACACAUACGCCGCCGCCGCCGCCGCCGCCUCCCUCGAACCCCAACCGCACUUUCUGCGUUGAGGCUUCGGCCUGCUCCUUGGACCUCCAUCGAACUUUUGAAUGGGAGGCCGCGCCCCUGGUCACCUCCACGCCGGCUCCACAGACCGGGGAGGUGACCAGCGGGAGCAGCCUCCCCUUUGAAGAAAGAAAGGGCUCCCCGAGGGCCAAGAAGAGGCGCCUCUCUCCCGGAGGUAGUCCUCCCCGCUGCCAAGCGCCGGAGGGAGCAGCCCUGGGAGGGAAAGGCGCCCCAAGGAAGGCCUCAGGAGGAGGGCCCAAGAAGGAGGAGGGCGCCAGAGUCACCAGGCCCCGCCUGGGCAAGAAACAACUGCCCAGUGGAAUGAAGAAUAAAGUCCUCCAGGAGAAGAAAUCUGCUCCCUUGACCCAGCUUCGUUUAGUGGCCUGUCAGGGUCCAAAGCUUCAAGGGAAUAACAAGCCUUCCAGAAGCAAGCUUCCAGUUCCUGAAGGCCUGGAUGGGAGACGUAUAGAUGGAGCCAUGGUGGCAGCGGGACAGAUCCCCAGGGAUGCUCCAGGCUGUGCAUCUUGUUUGCAGUGUCAACGGCUGCUUAAGGAAAACCAGCGUCUGGCUCAAGAAAACCAGCGUCUGGCUCAAGAAAACCAGCGUCUGGCUCAAGAAAAGCAACAACUUAAAAACAGGCUGGAAAACAUUGAGGGAGGAAAUACAUCUUGA